rnacentral:rRNA from 1 species
CAACAUGACUCUCGGCAACGGAUAUCUCGGCUCUCGCAUCGAUGAAGAACGUAGCAAAAUGCGAUACCUGGUGUGAAUUGCAGAAUCCCGUGAACCAUCGAGUUUUUGAACGCAAGUUGCGCCCGAGACCUUCUGGUCGAGGGCACGUCUGCCUGGGCGUCACG